UUCCGGUUGAUCCCGCCGGACCUGACUGCUAUCGGAUUGAUACUAAGCCAUGCGAGUCAUUGUAGCAAUACAAGGCAUACGGCUCAGUAACGCGUAGUCAACCUAACCUAUGGACGGGAAUAACCUCGGGAAACUGAGAAUAAUGCCCGAUAGAACACUAUACCUGGAAUGGUUUGUGUUCCAAAUGAUUUAUCGCCGUAGGAUGGGACUGCGGCCUAUCAGUUUGUUGGUGAGGUAAUGGCCCACCAAGACUAUUACAGGUACGGGCUCUGAGAGGAGUAGCCCGGAGAUGGGUACUGAGACACGGACCCAGGCCCUAUGGGGCGCAGCAGGCGAGAAAACUUUGCAAUGUGCGAAAGCACGACAAGGUUAAUCCGAGUGAUUUGUGCUAAACGAAUCUUUUGUUAGUCCUAGAACCACUAACGAAUAAGGGGUGGGCAAGUUCUGGUGUCAGCCGCCGCGGUAAAACCAGCACCUCAAGUGGUCAGGAUGAUUAUUGGGCCUAAAGCAUCCGUAGCCGGCUCUGUAAGUUUUCGGUUAAAUCUGUACGCUUAACGUACAGGCUGCCGGGAAUACUGCAGAGCUAGGGA
rnacentral:rRNA from 1 species